GAAGCUGGAAUCGCUAGUAAUCGCAGAUCAGAAUGCUGCGGUGAAUACGUUCCCGGGUCUUGUACACACCGCCCGUCACACCAUGGGAGCCAGGAAUGCCCGAAGCCAGUGGCCUAACCGCAAGGGAGGAGCUGUCGAAGGCAGGCCCGGUAACUGGGGUGAAGUCGUAACAAGGUAUC
rnacentral:rRNA from 1 species